CCACAACUUCUCCAAAUCUAAAAUUUGGUGCGUCAUUUACUGUAGCUAAACAGAAACUGGGCUGAUUUCACCUUUUUUCUGUUCUCUUUCAUCUGGGUGGAUUUUUGAAGAACCAUGGAUGCAUCGUCCUCUCCCCAGCCUUUGGCUAUGGGAGAGAUGAAUUCAAAUGGCAAACCAACACUAACGUAUGUUGCUCAAGUGGAAAAAAAAGGCAGUUGCUACUUCGAAUCAAAAGCUGCUGAAG
rnacentral:lncRNA from 1 species